rnacentral:lncRNA from 1 species
UCCCCACGCACUGUUCGAGGAGAAGCUUGAAGCCAUGAAGGAAGCCAAGGGGGUGAAGAACGACAAUGACCUGACUGCCUCUGACCUCAAAGAGCUGGUGGCUCAGUACAAGGAGGUCUACGUCGAAGCCAAGGGGGAGCCAUUUCCCUCAGGUAUGCCCACCGCAGCCUCACCCUCAGUUGAUAAUAUCUGUAUGAAAAAAAAAAUUCUCUUGAAACUAAAGCUGUUUCUUUGCAUCAAACUUAUGCAUGCCUUUACCUUGUUUUGUCUUGCAGAUCCCAAGAAGCAGCUUGAGCUAGCAGUGUUGGCUGUGUUCAACUCGUGGGACAGCCCCAGGGCCAACAAGUACAGGAGCAUUAACCAGAUCACUGGUCUGAAAGGCACUGCUGUGAACGUGCAGUCCAUGGUGUUUGGCAACAUGGGGGACACUUCUGGCACUGGCGUGCUCUUCACUAGGAAUCCUAGCACUGGAGAGAAGAAGCUGUAUGGCGAGUUCCUGGUGAAUGCUCAGGUAUGGACCAGUUUCUGUUGUGCCUAUUUGAUUCACAAUCUUAGCUGCCCUGUUUGAUCAAGUUAUUUUACACAAGUUAUAUUAAACAUGCAGUAGUAUCAACGAAUCUGUAUAAUGUAUGUGUGUUUCUGGUUCAGGGUGAGGAUGUGGUUGCUGGAAUCAGAACCCCGGAGGAUCUUGAUGCCAUGAAGGCACAGAUGCCGGAUGCUUAUGUAGAGCUCGUUGAGAACUGCAAGAUACUGGAGAGCCACUACAAAGAAAUGAUGGUACCUUAUUAUUGCAUUUUCAACCUUUACUGCACCAUUUAUUUUUGAGCUAUAUUUAAACAUGAUCUCUUUAAUAAUUUGCAACAUAAGCGCACUUGAAUACUGGUGUUGCUUCAAUGUGUUCUGUAGAUUGGCAUUGUGUCUCUGUUACUGCCAUUGGCCAUGAUCUCAGACUUGCUUGCUUUUUAUGCAUGAUGCAGGACAUUGAAUUUACCGUUCAGGAAAAUAGGCUCUGGAUGUUACAGUGCAGAUCAGGAAAACGUACAGGCCAAGGGGCGGUAAAGAUUGCUGUGGACAUGGUUAAUGAGGGUCUUGUUGAGCGCCGUCAAGCGAUUAAGAUGGUAGAGCCAGGCCACCUGGACCAGCUUCUCCAUCCUCAGGUAAUGGAUAACCAUGAGGCCCGUAAACUGAUUGUGCCUUACUUGAAAUUCAGUACUCUUAUAAGUUUGGCCUUACUUGGAAUUCACUUUAUAAGUUAAGUACUGGAUAUGUAUUAACAUCACUGUUUUAAUCUUGUCCAAUGAAAACCAGUUUGAGAACCCAUCAGCAUACAAGGAUCAAGUAAUCGCUACAGGCUUACCAGCUUCACCUGGGGCUGCUGUGGGCCAAAUUGUAUUUACUGCAGAGGACGCUGAAGCAUGGCAUGCCCAAGGGAAAGCUGCUAUCCUGGUAAACACCAUUUUAUCCUCAUUUUUAAGAAAAAAAGGUCUUCUGCAGUUUUUGUGUCAUUUUGAUCUGGACUUUGUGCUUCGAUGAAAAGAUCUGUUAAUUGAGCAAAACUGGUCUAUUUACUGGACCUGUUAGAAUAGUUGCUUGCAGAGUUACAGUCACAAAAAUCCCACUUAUCACAGACAGCCAUUUUUGAAAUGCAUAUGGAAGCUCCAAGUCGUAUCGCUUCAUCUUUUGCAUUCUGAGAAUUUUUUCUUUGCAAAUAUAUAGGUGAGGACAGAGACCAGCCCAGAGGAUGUUGGUGGCAUGCACGCAGCUGUUGGAAUUCUUACAGCAAGAGGUGGGAUGACCUCUCAUGCUGCUGUGGUAGCACGUGGUUGGGGAAAAUGUUGUGUCUCAGGAUGCUCAAGCGUUCUCGUAAAUGAUGCUGAGAAGGUGAAUAGAAUUCUUGUUUGCACAUCUUCUUCUUUGUAGAAGGUGACAUGCCAUGUUAAAGUUUGUAACAGGAUUAUGACAUUCUUUGUAGAUGUGCUCCGUCCGCCAUUUUUAAGUUCUUAUUAACGAGAUUUUGAGGAUGUAGAUGUUUCCUUACUUUGCUAUGUCUACAUUUACAGUCUGUAGUGAUUGGAGACAAGGUGAUGCAUGAAGGUGAGUGGCUAUCACUGAAUGGAUCUACUGGUGAAGUCAUCGUGGGGAAGCAGCCACUUUCCCCACCAGUCCUCAGUGGUGAUCUGGGAACCUUCAUGUCCUGGGUAGAUGAAGUUAGGCAACUGAAGGUAAAUUCCUAGAAAUAACAAAUAUGUAAUAUUAGUUAAAACAUGGAUACAAACUGUUGGAAGUAGAAACCAACAAAAAGGGCAUCAGAUUAUUUAUUCAGACAGGCCAAAGCUAGUCAACCCCACUACACAUUUUUCAACAGAAAUGCUUAUUCGUACAUAUGAUCCACCUUCCAGGUUUUGGCUAAUGCGGAUACCCCUGAGGAUGCACUGACAGCAAGAAACAAUGGGGCAGAAGGAAUUGGACUAUGCCGGACGGAGCACAUGGUAUGUAUUUUAGUUACUGUCCAAUAUCUUUUGGGUGGGAUCUUGGAAAACUUACUCUUUCUUGAAUUCCUUCGUCGAACAGUUGGGUAAACUUUAAGGACCUCCCGUUCUAGUCUCAUGUUCUCCUUUUCUGCACUUUGGCAGUUCUUUGCUUCGGAUGAGAGGAUUAAGGCUGUGAGGCAGAUGAUUAUGGCUCCCACACUUGAACUGAGGCAGAAGGCACUAGAUCGUCUUUUGCCUUAUCAGAGGUCUGACUUUGAAGGCAUUUUCCGUGCUAUGGAUGGUAUGUGAAAAUCACGAUGCAUUCAUUUACAUGCUCUCCAAUUGAACUGGAUGCACUAGUGUUACUGAACAUAACAAGAGUAAGCAACCUUCUUAAAUAGACAACAUUGACUACUAAUGUAAAGUGAAAAGGUAGACAAGUUUUAAACCUUAGGAUGCAAAAUACUUCAAAAAUAAGAACGAAAUUGGGCCAGUAACAUAUUGCAUCAAUUAUUUAACUUGGUAACAUAAAGUUCUGCUAUGAUUUAUCCAUUAGUUUUUUUUAAUCUUUUAUAGCGAGUGGUAUAUGUACAUGUUUCAUGGAAACAGAUAUAGAAUUAAACUACUAGAAUAAAUUUUAACAUGUAUUGUAGUUAGUUCCACAGUAUGUAUUUUAAAGUGCGGAAUGGAUUUGAACAUUAUUUUUUUUGCAUUUCAGGGCUUUCAGUGACUAUUCGGCUUCUGGACCCCCCACUUCAUGAGUUUCUUCCUGACGGGAAUGUUGAAGACAUUGUGCGUGAAUUAUGUUCUGAAACUGGAGCCAAUCAGGAGGAAGCCCUUGCAAGAAUUGAAAGUCUUUCAGAAGUAAAUCCAAUGCUUGGUUUCCGUGGGUGCAGGUUGGUUUUUGUGCUCCGUUUAAAUCAGUCACCCCCCCUCCUUGAUCCAUUUGGUUCCCUUGUUAGUGAAAUAUUAAAAAGAAUAAACUCUGUAUAUUUACCUCGACUAAUAUUGGAACUGCUAAAAUUCCAGGCUCGGUAUAUCAUAUCCUGAGCUAACAGAAAUGCAAGCCCGUGCCAUCUUUGAAGCUGCUAUAGCGAUGACCAACCAGGGUGUUCAAGUUUUCCCAGAGAUAAUGGUUCCUCUUGUUGGGACACCUCAGGCAUGCAUCUUUAUUUCCUUAUUUGUGCAUAUGGUAUCUCUGCAGUUCAUGGUGUUCAAAAUGACAAAAUCAAAAUUGAAUAAACAACCAAGUUCUGUACACAUGUAAUUUACGAUUUUAUGCAAACAUCAAGUUGACCUACACCCAAUUUCCCACCAAAUUCAUUUCUUGAAAUUUUCUCUCUCGAAUUCUAAGUUUAUUGCUUUCACUUGAUUUUUCCUUCAGACAUCUGACAUUUGACUUUUGCAGGAACUGGGGAAUCAAGUGGCCCUUAUCCGUGAAACUGCUAACAAAGUUUUCGCUGCUCUGGGUAAAACCAUUGACUACAAAAUUGGAACUAUGAUUGAAAUUCCGAGGGCAGCUCUAGUAGCUGAUGAGGUAGGAAGCAUCUAACUCCCUUCAGAAUAAUCUUAAAUAUUGCUGUUUAGGUUUAGCUUUUAGAUCAUAUUUUUCAUGAAUGGUUUAGUAAUAGAACCCCGGAUUUUUACUCUAAAACAUGUGAAUAGUAACUGAUGGUAUGAAUUUAUUAAGUGCAAAUAAUAAGUUUAUCCUCUAAUUUAAAAAAAAAACUGACAUUCUUGUUUUGGUUUCACAACCUGACAGAUAGCAGAGCAGGCUGAAUUCUUCUCUUUUGGAACGAACGACCUCACACAGAUGACAUUUGGCUACAGCAGGGAUGAUGUGGGGAAGUUUCUUCCCAUUUAUCUGUCUCAGGGUAUCCUCCAACAUGAUCCCUUUGAGGUAAAAUUUUAGCAGCUCUCACCCUUCAGUUUUAGAUGAUAUACCUGCAUUUUCAUCAUCCACUCUUGUUUUUCAAGGAAUAUUUCCAUCAUCCACAGAUGCGAGCAUCUCAUGUCCUCUAGGCAUUUUUCAUGUCCUUGACUUUUGGUUACGUGCAUGCUCUGGUAAAAUUCAACCUAGUAACUUGCCCAUUGAAUGUUGAUAAACAUAUCAGGUGCUGGAUCAGAGGGGAGUGGGCGAGCUGGUUAAGUUUGCUACAGAGAGGGGUCGCAAAGCUAGGCCUAACUUGAAGGUUAGUUUUUGGGACUUGUGGACAUUGGCUCUUUUCCUUAGAAAUCAUGGUUUCAUUGUUUGGUGCUGUCUGCAAACAGGUGGGCAUCUGUGGAGAACACGGUGGGGAGCCUUCGUCAGUUGCAUUCUUUGCAAAGUCGGGGCUGGAUUAUGUUUCUUGCUCGCCUUUCAGGUUGGUCAAGUGAUAAACUCAAGAUACAACUCCCAGAUUCAUAACUGUAGCAAAACCUUAACUACUUUUUAUGAAAUAUCUUGUGCAGGGUUCCCAUCGCCAGGCUAGCUGCAGCUCAGGUGCUCGUCUGAGGGCACCGCCUCAUCGGCAACCGGAUCACCUGCUGUUGGUGCGUCUGGUGAAGAAUACUAAUACAAAGCCAUGGAACGGUGGAACUCUGCUGCCUGGCAAAGGCCGUUGUAUCUUGUAUGAAGUCUCCGUGCGCGUGCGCAUGUAAGACUUAAUGUGUGGUUUUCUGCAUUUUCCCUUGAACUACCAUGGUAAUGUAGUACCAAACAGAGAUGAUGACGAAGAACAAUCGAAUAAAUUAAUUGGCGAUUAC